GGAGGGUUGGGAUGCAGAAUUACAUGAAUUAAACCGAAAGCGGAGCGAGCGGUGGCUUCGGAGUGAGCAAUCUAAUACCUGUUGCGUCAUUCGAGAGCUUCUUGGUUAAAUCGUUGUCAACUAACAAUUUUCCACUGAAAAGUGGAAGGUUGAUUGAGAACGGAUAGCGAGCAAGUCAAAGUCCUCUAGCGUAGCAGACACGGUCAACCUAAAAUUUGUACACACUCCUGUUGAAAUCAAUUCGGAGCUUUUCACACCUUUAAUGUGGCAAAUAUUACAAACAACAUCUGCUAAAAGAUAAAAAAAAAACAACAACAACAAAACAAAAAUCGUCUGGUUGCAUAAGUGAGCAAAACCAUUUGCAUCCUUCAGAUCAGCGUUUCUAAACCCUGGUCCUCAGGGCCCUCUGUCCUUCAUGUUCUAGAUGCCUCUCUAAUCCAGCACACCUGAUUCAAAGGAUUAAAUUACCUGCUCAGCAUGCCAUCGAAUGCUGCAGAAGCUUUCUAAUCACUCAGUUAUUUAAGUCAGGUGGGAGGCAGAAGGAAAACACCUAAAGCUUGCAGGACACUAGGGCCUGAGGAGAGGGGUUAAGAAACGCCGCUUUAGACAAAACUACAGAUGCAGAGAGUAUAAGACAAGAGCACAUUAAAAAAACACCUACAGAAACAUUAAAAAGACAAACAGAUGGUUGAAAAAGGAAGCCAAGGAGUUGAGAUUCAAAGCCUUAGUGGUGCCAGUGGUCAUUUUGUGCACUUUGAACCAAAGUAGGAGGGUGGCAGCUGCAGACUCCUGGAUCACCCAGUAAAGCAAAACUGCAAAGAGCGCUCGACGUCCCAGGGUCUGACAGGAAACCUGAAUAUGAAGUGGAGUCACUCAGCAGAGACUUCUAGAAGAGGAUUUACAUACCUCUGCUGUGUAGCAGGAAAGCAUGUCUGCAUGUUUUUCCAUGUUAUGUCCAAACAGUCUCUACGGGGAGCAGAAGGAGUAAGUUUUCGCCGGGAAAUGGUUGUGGAGCAGCUGCUUUGAGGUGAAAGCAAGACCGUGAAAAUGUAGACUUUGCUCUCUUUUUCACAUGUCGUGCUGCUCAGUGCUAGCUGAUUGCUGGGAAAUCUGUUCACCAGAGCGUGUUUGUUUUUCCACCUAAUUCAUACGAUUAUGCCAUGCUAAUUUGGCUAGCUUUGUUUACUCACUCAGGCCUAGUUUCACUGCGGUGUCAAGAGGACUCCCGCUGCUUUUGUGUUUGGUAAUCCUAUCAGAAAGAUGCUUGAGAUGAGGAAAGCACGUUCUUGACCGGGUGCCACAGCAAAGAGGCAAAAAAAAAAGAGGAAGAAGAAGAAUAAGGAAAAAAAAAAAAUCAAAUUCUUAAACGAGUCUGCAAUUAGACAUGUUCUCCAAGAGAGCUGCAGCACAAUGAUAAUUCUAGUUCAUUUGCAGGAGUCAACCCUGUUAAUGUAGCUGUUAAACUGACGAGGGAGGAUGAAUGUUUUACUGAUUUGGCCACACUUCAAAAUGUAAUGAUAGGAAGGAGAGUAGAGAGAAUGUGCCAACAAUUUACAGGAAUUUUGUCUCAAAGGUUCGUCCAACAGAAGGUAAAAUAUAGGGGUAUUGUAAGGUAAAAUGGAGUAAGAUAAAUGACGGUGUGCAAUUAAAAUCAUUGCUGAACUCAAGACAAGUUCAGCAACUACAACAGUUAGGUAUAACAAAUAAAAUGAUAAAUGCUCAUGAUUGCAUAAAAAAUACUUUAGUUGGCUAAAUGUUCUUGUAAUAUUGGUCUGUCUGUGGUUCAGGUGUUACCAGAAAGCUAAAUGUUUCAAUAUUUGGUGAAGGAAGCAAACGAGACAAAACCUGUUUAUAUUCCAUUCCACAGAGAAAACUAGAAGGAGGAGGAGGUGAAAUAAAAAAUUAUGGUUUUUAAAAAAAA